CGAGAAAGCCCGCAAGGGUGAGUACAGCGGCGCACGGGUGCGUAACACGUGGGUAAUCUGCCCUGGAGCCCGGAAUAACUCCCCGAAAGGGGUGCUAAUGCCGGAUGAGCCCACGGGGUCUUCGGACCCUGAGGGAAAAGGUGGCCUCUGCAUGCAAGCUAUCACUUCAGGAUGAGCCCGCGGCCCAUCAGCUAGUUGGCGGGGUAAUGGCCCACCAAGGCUACGACGGGUAGCUGGUCUGAGAGGACGAUCAGCCACACUGGAACUGAGACACGGUCCAGACUCCUACGGGAGGCAGCAGUGGGGAAUCUUGCGCAAUGGGCGAAAGCCUGACGCAGCAACGCCGCGUGUGUGAUGAAGGUCUUCGGAUCGUAAAGCACUGUCGCGAGGGACG
rnacentral:rRNA from 1 species